rnacentral:rRNA from 1 species
UACGUAGGGGGCGAGCGUUGUCCGGAUUUAUUGGGCGUAAAGAGCUCGUAGGCGGUUUGGCAAGUCGGGUGUGAAAACUCCGGCUCAACUCGGAGACGCCACUCGAUACUGCCAUGACUCGAGUCCGGUAGGGGAGUGCGGAAUUCCUGGUGUAGCGGUGAAAUGCGCAGAUAUCAGGAGGAACACCGGUGGCGAAGGCGGGUCUCUGGGCCGAUGACUGACGCUGGAGGAGCGAAAGCGUGGGGAGCGAACAGG